AUUGAACGCUGGCGGCAGGCCUAACACAUGCAAGUCGAGCGGAUGAAGGGAGCUUGCUCCUGGAUUCAGCGGCGGACGGGUGAGUAAUGCCUAGGAAUCUGCCUGGUAGUGGGGGAUAACGUCCGGAAACGGGCGCUAAUACCGCAUACGUCCUGAGGGAGAAAGUGGGGGAUCUUCGGACCUCACGCUAUCAGAUGAGCCUAGGUCGGAUUAGCUAGUUGGUGGGGUAAAGGCCUACCAAGGCGACGAUCCGUAACUGGUCUGAGAGGAUGAUCAGUUACACUGGAACUGAGACACGGUCCAGACUCCUACGGGAGGCAGCAGUGGGGAAUAUUGGACAAAGGGCGAAAGCCUGAUCCAGCCAUGCCGCGUGUGUGAAGAAGGUCUUCGGAUUGUAAAGCACUUUAAGUUGGGAGGAAGGGCAGUAAGUUAAUACCUUGCUGUUUUGACGUUACCAACAGAAUAAGCACCGGCUAACUUCGUG
rnacentral:rRNA from 1 species